CAAUAGCGUAUAUUAAAGUUGUUGCGGUAAAAAAGCUCGUAGUUGGAUUUCUACCGAAGAUAGCCGGUCGGGUCUUCGACCUUGUAUCUAGUUUUGUCUUUGGUAUCCUCAUAGGGAACGUUUCUGCGCUUUAUUGCGUGGUGCGGUAUCUAUGACUUUUACUUUGAGGAAAUUAGAGUGUUCACGGCAGGCAAACGCCUUGAAUAUAUUAGCAUGGAAUAAUAACAUAGGAUCUUCGUCCUAUUUUGUUGGUUUCUAGGGCUAAGAUAAUGAUUAAUAGGGAUAAUUGGGGGCAUCUGUAUCAACGCGUCAGAGGUGGAAUUCUUGGAUUGCGUUGCGACAAACUACUGCGAAAGCGUCUGCCAAGGAUGUUUUCAUUGA
rnacentral:rRNA from 1 species